UAAUGUAGGGGGGCACUCUUGUUUGAUAAAUAGAUAUCUGGCAUUAACAGGCUUGCAAAUAUAAUUAUAAAGCUGAACCAAACUUGUUUCCUAUCAGUCUAUCACCCACAACAUAUCUCUCUAACCAAAUGGGAAAUCUUACUCAAAAUCUCAAGACCAGAUUUUCAGGUCUGGUAGAAUCUGUUAAAUCAUGGAGAACUGCUAGAGGCAUCGAAGAUUAUGAAGAUCUGGAGUCUCAGACAACAGAGCAUGCCAGAGCAGUCUCAGGAUCAAAGGUUCCACCACGACCCAAUGUGCUUAAAGGACUCCCUGCUCGAAUCCAUUGAUUCUUAUGAAACCUCCGAUGCAUUUUGGGCUAUAAAAAGUUCUAUAUAUGUGUAAUUAGACUUCUUGGUAUUCUCGUUUAUAUUUCCCUAGUUAGCCAAUUAUGAACCUUUUGAUAUUCAUGGUUAUUGUUUGUUCUUCGUUAUGUAUACUCUCCCUCUGUUCUGCUUGUUUCUUUACGUUACUUUUUGACACAUUUUUUAAGACUUAUUUAAGUUAUAGUUUCAUAAUA